rnacentral:rRNA from 1 species
UGGGGAAUAUUGGACAAUGGGGGCAACCCUGAUCCAGCGACGCCGCGUGUGUGAAGAAGGCCUGCGGGUUGUAAAGCACUUUUAGUGGGGAUGAAAAGUGCAGAGAUAACACCUCUGCAUCUUGACCUAACCCACGAAAAAGCACCGGCUAACUCUGUGCCAGCAGCCGCGGUAAUACAGAGGGUGCAAGCGUUAAUCGGAAUUACUGGGCGUAAAGCGUGCGCAGACGGUUGCGUAAGUCAGAUGUGAAAGCCCCGGGCUCAACCUGGGAAUUGCAUUUGAGACUGCGUAGCUAGGGUGCGGAAGAGGGAAGCGGAAUUUCCGGUGUAGCGGUGAAAUGCGUAGAUAUCGGAAGGAACACCAGUGGCGAAAGCGGCUUCCUGGUCCAGCACCGACGUUCAGGCACGAAAGCGUGGGGAGCAAAGCAGGAUUAGAUACCC